UUUCAAGGUCUUGGUUACUGCAAAUACUGCAAUCUGUAGGAUGGCCUUUUGUAAAUUAAAUAAACACAAAGAUCUAAAUAGAUACUGUUAUGUAACAAAAUGUUCAAGUAACAAACACAAACUCUUGCAUUUUUGUCAAUUCAUCUUUAAAAGAUUUUAGCAUUAUUUUGUGUCAAUCUAAGGAACAUCUGCCAAUUACUAUCUAUCUCCUCUUUUGUUUUGACCUUCAGCAACUCAAAUUUCAUCUUAUUUUGAAGUAGAAGAAAGAAUUACAUGACCUCCUGGGUCCUGUCUUCCCAUGCUAUCUUAUAAUCUCAGAUGACUGAUAAAUUUUGUCUUAUAUGUUUUAUCUACAAAAACAGAUUCAACCUCUGGUGGCCACCCUCCCUUCAACACUGGUACCUCUCCCUGCUGGUAUAACCAUACUCUCAGAAGAGUGCAAGAGUUUCCCCACAGAAGAAGACCAAAGACCAAACGAUCCUCAAGGAACUGUUUCAAGAACUUAAAUAAUGGAAGUGGAUUUGAUUGGUGCAAAAGAUGAAUUGUAGUGCACUACCAAGAAUCUACUUUCAAGAUGAACAUACCAAUUCCCCUAGUUGCCGAGAUUGUUGGUGACUGGUGGGUUUUAGCAGAAUCCCUCUCAGGGAAUUGAGACCUUGGCCAAGGUCAUGCCCUCUCUCUGAGAGACUCCUGCAUUCAAUGACUGGUUGCUGUGGGAGUACAAAGUUCAGACCCCUGGCCUCAAGGUGAUCUGAUCCAACUCUGAAGGGCCACCCCAGCUCUGAGGCUCCACAGAAUUAGCUGAAGCCCUUGUACAACUAUCUUGCUACUCCUCCCUUUGCUCAAUCCUAUUUCCUUCUCCCCACAUAGGUACUGAUCCUAAGGGUAUUCCCUGAUAAAUUUCCUGCACAUAAAUCUCAAUCUCAGAGUUUCUUUUGUGGGGGCAUCUGCCUUAAGACAAACUGGUAAGGCUGUACUAGUAUCAGCUGAUUAUUAGAUGUGGAUAUGGCAUAAAGACAUUAACUCCUAGAGCUGUAAGAGGCCAGAAAGAGCAUUCCUUUUCAAUGGGAAGCACUUUCCUUUUCCUAAAAAGGAAUUCAGAAAAGUUGUGGGAGGGUAGGAAGACAACUAAAAAACAUUCAAAAUAGUUUCUGAGUCCCUUGGAAAAAUAUCUUUAUAAUUUAGGAUACUUACUUUGAUAAACAGAAUAGUGUCAUUGAGAAAAUUGAUAGUGAUUUUGGAGUCAGUUGUUUGUCAGU